rnacentral:rRNA from 1 species
GGCACAAGCGGUGGAUCAUUGUUGUUUAAUUCGAUGAUACGCGAAGAACCCUUACCAGGUCUUGACAUCCCCCGCGAUGCUUUAGAGAUAAAGCGGAGGUAUUCGGGGAGACAGGUGGUGCAUGGUUGUCGUCAGCUCGUGUCGUGAGAUGUUGGGUUAAGUCCCGCAACGAGCGCAACCCCUAUUGCUAGUUACCAUCAUUAAGUUGGGGACUCUAGCGAGACUGCCAGUGAUAAACUGGAGGAAGGUGGGGAUGACGUCAAAUCAUCAUGCCCCUUAUGACCUGGGCUACAAACGUGAUACAAUGGCUGGAACAAAGGGAUGCGAAGCAGUGAUGUGGAGCGAAACCCAUAAAAACAGUCUCAGUUCGGAUUGAAGUCUGCAACUCGACUUCAUGAAGUCGGAAUCGCUAGUAAUCGCGGAUCAGAACGCCGCGGUGAAUACGUUCUCGGGGUUU